GUUGUUCUGGCACGUCUGAGAGCUGGUUCCGGCAAGCCCAGCAGAUGAUUCUGGAUUGUCCUUGUGGUUCUGGCAUAACCAGCAGGUGAUUUUGGCGUGUCCAGCAGGUGUUUCUGGCGAGUGGAGCAGGGGUUUCCGGUGUGCUCAGCAGGUGGUUCAGGCGUGUCCAGCAGUUGGUUCCCGUGAGUCCGGGAGGUGGUUCCGGCGUGUCGGGCAGGUGAUACCGGAGUGUCCGGGAAGUGGUUCUGAAGAAGCCGGCAGGUGAUUUUGGCGUGUCCAGCAGGUGGUUCUGGCGAGUCGAGCAGGUGGUUCUGGCGUUCUUGGCAGGUGGUUCAGGUGUGUCUGGCAGGUGGUUCUGGUCUGUCCGGGAGGUGGUUCCAGCGUGUUCAGCACAUGGUUCUGGCACGUCUGAGACGUGGUUUCUGCAUGCCUGGAAGGUGAUUCCAGAGUGUCCAGCAAGUGUUUCUGGUGUAGCCGGUAGGUGAUUUUGGCAUGUCCGGCAGGUGGUUCCGGCGAGUCGAGAGGUGGUUAAGGUGCGCUCAGCAGGUGGUUCAGGCGUGUCCAGCAGGUGGUUCCGGUGUGCUCGGCAGGUGGUUACGGCGUGUCCGGCAGGUGGUUCGGGGAUGUCCAGGAGGUGGUUCCGGUGAGUCCGGCACGUGGUCUGGCACGUCUGAGUGGUGGUUCCAGCAUGCCCAGCAUGUGAUUCCGGAUGUCCGCCAAGUGGUUUUUGUGGACCCGGCAGGUGAUAUUGGCGUGUCCGGCAGGUGGUUCAGGCGAGUCGUGCAGGUGGUUCCGGCGUGCUUGGUAGGUUCUUCAGGCGUGUCCGGCAUGUGGUUCCACCAUGCUCGGCUGGUGGUUCAGGCGUGUACGGCAGGUGGUUCCGGUCUGUCCGUGAUGUGGUUCCGUCGUGUCUGGCCCACGUUUUUCUGGAACGUAUGAGAGGUGGUUCCGUCACGUCUGAGAUGUGGUGCCGGAAUGCCCGGCAUGUGAUUCCGGAGUGUCCGCCAAGUUGUUCUGGCAUAGCCAGCAGGUGAUUUUGGCGUGUCCGGCAGGUGGUUCCGGUGAAUUGAGCAGGUGGUUCCAGGGUGCUCGGCAGGUGGUUCCGGCGUGUCAAGCACGUGGUUCUGGCAGGUCUGAGAGGUGGUUCCGGCAUGCCCAGCAUAUGAUUCCAGACUGUCCGCCAAGUGGUUCUUGUGUACCCAGCAGGUGAUAUUGGCGUGUCUGGCAGGUGGUUCUGGCGUGGUUGGCAGGUGGUUGUGGCUUGCUCGGCAAUUGGUUCCGGUCUGUAUGGGAGGUGGUUCCGGCGUGUCCGGCACAUGGUAGUGCCAUGUCUGAGAAGUGGUUCCGGCAUGCCCAGCUGGUGAUUCCGGAGUGUCCGCCAUGUGUUUCUGGUGUAACCGGGAGAGGAUUUUGGAAUGUCAUUCAGGUGAUUCCGGCGAGUCGAGCAAGUGGUUCUGGCGUGCUUGGAAGGUGGUUCAGGCAUGUCCGGAAGGUGGUUCUGGUCUGUCCGGGAGGUGGUUCUGGCGAGUCCGGCACGUGGUUCUGGCACGUCUGACUGUUGGUUCUGGCAUGCCCGGCAGGUCUUUCUGGACUGUCCACAAAGUGGUCCUGGCAUAGCCAGCAGGUGAUUCUGGCGUGUCAGGCAGGUGAUUUUUUCGAGUGGAGCAGGUGGUUCCGGCGUGGUCGGCAGGUGGUUCUGGCGUGCUCGGCAGUUGGUUCCGGUCUGUCCGGGAGGUGGUUCCAGUGUGUCCAGCACGUGGUAGUGCCAUGUCUGAGAAGUGGUUUCGGCAUGCCUGGCUGGUGAUUCCGGAGUGUCCGCCACGUGUUUCUGGUGUAACCGGGAGAGGAUUUUGGCAUGUCAUUCAUGUGAUUCCGGCGAGUCAAGCAAGUGGUUCCGGCGUGCUUGGAAGGUGGUUCAGGCAUGUCCGGAAGGUGGUUCCGGUCUGUCCAGGAGGUGGUUCUGGCGUGUCUGGCACGUGGUUCUGGCACGUCUGAGAGGUGGUGCCGGCAUGACCAGCAGGUGAUUCUGGAGAGUUCGCCACGUGGUUCUUGCUUAGCCGGCACGUGAUUUUGGCGUGUUUGGCAGGUGGUUCCGGCGAGUGGAGCAGGGGUUUCCGGCGUGCUCUGCAGGUGGUCAGGCGUCUCCGGCAGGUGGUUCUGGUCUGUCCAGAAGGUGGUUCCGGCAAGUCGAGCAGGUGGUUCCGGCAUUCUCGGCAGGUGGUUCAGGCGUCUCCUGCAGGUGGUUCCAGUCUGUCCGGGAUGUGGUUUUGGCGUGUCUGGCACGUGGUUACUGCGAGUCAAGCUGGUGGUUCCGGCGUUCUCGACAGGUGGUUCAGGCGUGUCAUGCAGGUGGUUCUGCUCUGUCCUUUAGGUGGUUUAGGCGUGUCCGGCACGUGGUUCUGUCACGUCUUAGAGGUGGUUCUGGUAUGCCCGGCAGGUGAUUCCAGAGUGAUCGCCACAUGGUUCUGGCGUAGCCAGCAGGUGAUUUCGGCGUGUCCGGAAGGUGGUUCCGGCGAGUCGACCAGGUGGUUCUGACGUGCUCGGCAGGUGGUUCAGGCGUCUCCGGCAGGUGGUUCCGGUCUGUCCGGGAGGUGCUUCCUGAGUGUCCGGCACGUGGUUCGGCAUGUCUGAGAAGUGGUUCCGGCAAGCCUGGCAGGUGAUUCCGGUCUAUCAUGUGGUUCUGACGUAGCCUGCAGGUGAUUUUAGCGUGUCCGGAAGGUGGUUCCGGCGAGUGGAGCAGGUGGUUCCGGUGUGCUCUGCAGGUUGUUCAGGUGUGUCUGGCAGGUGGUUCCGCUCUGUCUGAGAGGUGGUUCCCACACUCCCGGCUGUUGAUUCCAGAGAGUCCGCCACGUGUUUCUGGCAUAACUGGGAGAGGAUUUUGGUGUGUCCGGCAGGUGGUCCUGGCGUGUUCGGCAGGUGGUUCCUGGGAGUCUGGCAUGUGGUUCUGGCACGUCUGAGUGGUGGUUCUGGCAUGCCCGGGAGCUGAUUCCGGACUGUCCGCCAAGUGGUUCUGGCAUACCUGGCAGGUGAUUUUGUCGUGUCAGGCAGGUGAUUCCGGUGAGUCGAGCAGGUGGUUCGGGCGUGCUCGGCAGGUGGUUCAGGCGUUUCUGGAAGGUGGUUCCGGUCUGUCCGGGAGGUGGUUCUGGCGUGUCCGGCAUGUGGUUCUGGCAUGUCUCAAGGUGUUUCCGGAACGACGGGCAGGUCAUUCUGGACUGUCCGCCAUGUGCUUCUGGCGUAGCUGGCAGGUGAUUUUGGUGUGUCCGGCAGGUGGUUCUGGCGAGUGGAUCAGGUGGUUCCAGUGUGCUCGGCAGGUGGUUCAGGCGUGCGCGGCAGGUGAUUCCGGUCUGUCUGGAGGUGGUUCCAGCGUGUCCAGCACGUGGUUCUGGCACGUCUGUGAGGUGGUUCCUUCAUGUCCGGCAGGUGAUUCCAGAGUGUCCGAAAAGUGGUUCUGACACAGCCGGUAGGUAAACUUGGCAUGUCCAUCAGGUGGUUCCGGCGAGUCAAGAAGGUGGUUUCGGCAUUUUUGGCAGGUGGUUCUGGUCUCUCCGGGAUGUGGUUCCGGCGUGUCUGGCACGUGGUCCUGGGUCAUUUGAGACGUGGUUCUGGCAUGCCCGGCAGAUGAUUCCAGAGUGACCGCCAAGUGGUUCUCGCAUAGCCGGCAGGUGAGUUUGGCAUGUCAG
ensembl:lncRNA